CAGUCGAACGAACUCUGGUAUUGAUUGGUGCUUGCAUCAUGAUUUACAUUUGCGUGAGUGGCGAACUGGUGAGUAACACGUGGGAAACCUGCCCGGAAGCGGGGGAUAACACCUGGAAACAGAUGCUAAUACCGCAUAACAACUUGGACCGCAUGGUCCGAGCUUGAAAGAUGGCUUCGGCUAUCACUUCUGGAUGGUCCCGCGGCGUAUUAGCUAGAUGGUGAGGUAACGGCUCACCAUGGCAAUGAUACGUAGCCGACCUGAGAGGGUAAUCGGCCACAUUGGGACUGAGACACGGCCCUAACUCCUACGGGAGGCAGCAGUAGGGAAUCUUCCACAAUGGACGAAAGUCUGAUGGAGCAACGCCGCGUGAGUGAAGAAGGGUUUCGGCUCGUAAAACUCUGUUGUUAAAGAAGAACAUAUCUGAGAGUAACUGUUCAGGUAUUGACGGUAUUUAACCAGAGAGCCACGGCUAACUACGUGCCAGCAGCCGCGGUAAUACGUAGGUGGCAAGCGUUGUCCGGAUUUAUUGGGCGUAAAGCGAGCGCAGGCGGUUUUUUAAGUCUGAUGUGAAAGCCUUCGGCUCAACCGAAGAAGUGCAUCGGAAACUGGGAAACUUGAGUGCAGAAGAGGACAGUGGAACUCCAUGUGUAGCGGUGAAAUGCGUAGAUAUAUGGAAGAACACCAGUGGCGAAGGCGGCUGUCUGGUCUGUAACUGACGCUGAGGCUCGAAAGUAUGGGUAGCAAACAGGAUUAGAUACCCUGGUAGUCCAUACCGUANACGAUGAAUGCUAAGUGUUGGAGGGUUUCCGCCCUUCAGUGCUGCAGCUAACGCAUUAAGCAUUCCGCCUGGGGAGUACGGCCGCAAGGCUGAAACUCAAAGGAAUUGACGGGGGCC
rnacentral:rRNA from 1 species